UACAGAGGGGGGCAAGCGUUUGUUCGGAAUUACUGGGCGUAAAGGGCGCGUAGGCGGCCUUCUAAGUCGAACGUGAAAUCCCCGGGCUCAACCCGGGAACUGCGUCCGAUACUGGAAGGCUUGAAUCCGGGAGAGGGAUGCGGAAUUCCAGGUGUAGCGGUGAAAUGCGUAGAUAUCUGGAGGAACACCGGUGGCGAAGGCGGCGAUCCUGGACCGGUAUUGACGCUGAGGCGCGAAAGCCAGGGGAGCAAAGCGGGG
rnacentral:rRNA from 1 species